GAGAGGCACUGAAAGGAUUCCCUUUCUUUUUUCUCGUAUUUUCCAGUUAAAAGUAACUUGUUCAAAUUGGGUGUUCUCCAAUUCCCAUCUCUUCAUUGGAAAUUCUUCUUCUGAAUCUUUUAUGCAUGAAUAACAGGUUUCAAGUUUUGGGGUGUCUGAUUGUAUUUAAAGUUUAGUCUUUUCAUUCUCCAUUGAAAGGAGGAGAGAUUUUAGAGAUGACCUUCAAGAAGGUAUAUCCUCUAUUGUUUGUUAGAUUCUAAUUUCAGAGGGCUUUUGUUUUUCUUAGAUUCUAAUUCCUGAGAAUCCAAUUUUCUGGAACAUUUCUUGGUUGGUGGAAGAAGAAUCUCGUCUGCUUCUUUUAUUUUCAUUUUGAAACAUUGGUUUUUUUAAUUAAUUAUUAUUUUUAUACAUGAUGCUUGCAGUCUUUUCUUCCAAGAAUAUUUUCAUCCAAAGAGAGGACCAUAAGCCAAACCGACGAAGAUUCAUUCAAUUCUUCCGUUGCAGAAUCAGAGUCUACUUCAAGGCUUGGGAGUCUAAAUUUCAAUAACUUCCAGUCUCAGAUGUCGGACAUCUCAGACAGAUGAGACUUCAGGCCUUGGCAUGCUUUCAGGAAGUCACCAACAGAUAUUGCCAAGAAAAGAAAUCUACAUUGUGCCGAAUGUUUAUCAUCAAUGCUGGCCCUGGUUUUAGGUUGCUGUGGAGGACUAGUCUUUUAUCGAUAGA